UCAGACUGCAGGCUGCAACUCGCCUGCACGAAGUCGGAAUUGCUAGUAAUCGUAGGUCAGCAUACUACGGUGAAUACGUUCCCGGGCCUUGUACACACCGCCCGUCAAACCAUGAGAGUUGGCAACACCCGAAGUCGGUAGUCUAACCGCAAGGAGGACGCCGCCGAAGGUGGGGUUGAUGAUUAGGGUUAAGUCGUAACAAGGUAGC
rnacentral:rRNA from 1 species